GUGUAGCUGAUGGCCUUGGCAGGCAGACCAGCUUUUGAGUAGCACUUCUGAAAUAUUCUGUUCCCUGAGUGGACGUCGAGACAAACACGUCAGAGCUUUGAGGGGUGCCUACGAAGUUUUUCUCCUCAUCAGAGAUAAUUUCAUUCUGGAGAAGAAGAUAAAGUGUCUCAGGGAACUGAUAUUUGGGGCCUCAACAUAUAGGGAAAAGAAAGAGAUUGGCCUUUGGGUAGAAGCUGCCGGGUUUGUUAGUUGAUCUCAUAGCCAGAGAAAGGAAGACAGCAGUCUGAAGUUUGCUUCAAGAAGUAGAUUUCAAGAGGUUCAGAGAAAAAAAGUCAUGACACAGCAUCAUGAAACAUCUGGAAGGGAAGUCUACUAGAAAGAUUGCAAAGCUCUCCAAAGAAGCAAUUCACAUUGUACAGUUGCAAGUCGCCUCAGUGAAGAACAACAGGACAUAAUUUUAAAAAUCAGUGACAUUGUAUAGAGUGCUGAAGUGACCAGAUUUUUUUAAAGUAGUAGUGUGUGGCAGAAUAAUUUAUCAAACUAUUAAUUUGUUCACUUCUUAUUUUUGCAUUUCCCAUUUCAAAUAAAAUGGUCAAGCUAAUUCAUUUCCUCAUAAAUUUUUAUCUAAAUUGGGAAACAGCAGCUGUGGUUCUUCUUUGUUCUCAUGGUCCAUUGUCUCAUGUCCAACUAAUGACCACCCUCCAGGAAGUUCCCCAGAUCACAGAGAGAAUGCCUGUGUAGUGCACCUAAAGAGCAUGGUUAACAACCAUUGUCAUUACCCAAAUUAGAAAAGAUGCCUAUGCCCCAGGGAAUCAGGAGGGUGGGAUCAUGGGUUUUAGGUCAAGGGGUAUCUCAGAAGUCAUCAGUAUGGGCUGAUAAAGAAAAACAAGAGGGACAUUCCUAAUACUGUGGUGCCCUACUUUGGAAUCUUUGCACAAACUUUGAUAGAAGAAUAAAGAACUCCAAUAAGACGUUAUAUUGAUUUCCCAACAUGUACUAGCUGUGUGACACUGGGAAACUUAAUCAGCCUCUUUGUGUUCAGCUUCCUCUUCUAUAAGAUAAGGAUAAUGUAUCUCGUAAGGUAGUAAAGAGGAUUAAAUGAGACAAUGUAAAUAUAGUGGCAACACUGUCAGAGAUGUAAUAGGGACUGGGUUAAUAAUUGUAUUCUUUUUCUUUCCCAAGUUAAAAAAAAAUAUUGAGAUUUAUGGCUGGGCUAACAACAAGAGGACUGUUUGGAAGCCUGCAAAAAAGAACUUAGUCCACCUAGGUCCCUUUCUCCACCAGUGAAGCACAUUGGAGGUAUAUUUUCUUGAAAAAUUAAAAUAGAGAAGCAGUGGAUUUGGGGACAUUCAGCAAAGAGGUGAAGCUCUGAACUUAGAGUGAUCAAGCUAAAGUCUACAUACAGAAGACUUGGUGGUCACCAUCCAUCAAGUAGAAUAUAGAAGAGUAUGUGUCAGGAAGAAGGGAAAUCUGAGCCUCACUCCCACAGAGAAGAAUGGUGAGAGGAAUAGUCCCAAAGGGUAAACAAUUUGCUGUACUGGUCAGUGGAUCAGUGGGAUGGAAAACAGACUUAAUUUUCAGAUGAGGAAAAUGGGACACAGAGAGAUUAACGACUUGCUCAAGGUUGCACAGCUAGCCAUUGUCUAUUUGUAGAUGCAGCCCUAAGGCUAUUGGUUAUGCUUUUUGUACAUUACACCAUAGCUGCUAUUUGGCCCAUUAUUUAGAUCAAGUGAGACCUUGUCAGUAAAGAAAGAUGGAACCUGCCUUUCUUUCCUUAAACAAAAACCAAACAAACAACUAUUAGAGUCUAAGGGGGUCUCAGUUUGAAUUCUUGUGUCUCCACUAUGUGACUCAGGGUAAUAUGCUGUAGCUUUCUAAGCUUCAGUGGUAAUCCUAACAGUACAUAUACACCAUACCAGGUAUACAUAAAUGUUAAAUGAUAAGUGCAUGCAAACUUUUUUGCUGAAGGCUGACACCAUGCUCAAUAAAAGAUGAUUCAUUAUUAUUAAGAUUUAAAAUAGUAUAUGUAAUUUGCCUGUGACAGUGCGUCACAAAUAGGUACUAAAUGUCUGUGAGUCUUUUCCUCAUUUUAUCUGUCUUAUAAGGUGGAAGACUUCCAUUGCUUCUACUUCAUUCUUAGGAUCCUCAACAAACCCUCCUUUUCUGCUCUCACCUUGGGACUACCAAAAAAGCAAUCUUAACUGCAGGCUCUUUGAAAUUCCCUUGAGAGUCUCUGGUAAUGAGGAGCCCCCAUCAUUUCCUACCAAUCAACCAUGGCAUUUUCCUAGAAUGUAAUCAAACAUCGUCACUCUAACAAAACAUUGCCAUUUGCCUACAUUGUCUUCUAAUAAUGUAAUCCAUUGUCUUUAUAAUCACAUUUCUGUCUCAGAUAGAAACAUAAUAUUUGAAAUGCUUGGCAGGCAUAUUUUUCCUGAUUUAUCAUCUUGAACUCAUCCAUCACCAAGUCUUAUUGAUCAUGCCUUGUGUUCAUUCCCUUCAGUGCCAUUGUUACCGUGUUUUUUCAGUCACUGUUCAUUUUUCCUUUACCCCCAAUGGUUCUCCCUGGAAGGCAGGCCUUCACACUGGUACCAGAGUGGUCUUCCUUAAACACAGUUAUGAUCUCAUCAUUCCCUACUUCAAACUCUAGUGAUACAGAAUGGAUAGUCCCACUCUCCACACCCAGUGAUUCAUUCACUUUAGGGUAAAAAUCAAAACCCUGUAUGAAGACAAACCCUUUAUGUCUAUAAGCUGGCCCAUGGCCACCUCUACAGACAGCUUUGUUUCUUGUCACUUUUUCUGACAUCCACAUUCCCAUCUAUCCCCCCACAUCUCCACACUGUUGCAAAUCACAUUUUAUCCGUCUGAAAUGCUCUUUUACAACUCUGUUUAUACCUGUGCUCCCCUCCCUGUCACUUUUGUCUUCUUAUUUCACUUCUUUCAUUCUUCACAUUUUAAAAUCAUCACUGUUGUAGGCACAAUAAUGGCCCUCCAAAGAUUUUCAACUACUAAUCCCUGAAACCUACUACUACGGGCAUAACCUGGAGAUACUGUGGAUUCCAUUCCAAACCAACACAGUAAAGUGAAUAUCCUACGAAAGUGAGUCAUACAAAUUUUUGG